AUGGCUCAGGACAACGGCUGGCGGCGUGCCUAAUACAUGCAAGUCGAACGGUCUUUCUAUGGAAGCUUGCUUCCACUGAGAAGAUAGUGGCGAACGGGUGAGUAACACGUGGGUAACCUGCCCAUAAGAGGGGGGAUAACAUCCGGAAACGGGUGCUAAUACCGCAUAGUUUUCUUGAUCGCAUGAUCGGGAAAGGAAAGACGGCCUUUGUGCUGUCGCUUAUGGAUGGACCCGCGGCGUAUUAGUUAGUUGGUGAGGUAACGGCUCACCAAGACGAUGAUACGUAGCCGACCUGAGAGGGUGAUCGGCCACAUUGGGACUGAGACACGGCCCAAACUCCUACGGGAGGCAGCAGUAGGGAAUCUUCCGCAAUGGACGAAAGUCUGACGGAGCAACGCCGCGUGAGUGAAGAAAGGGUUUUCGGAUCGUAAAACUCUGUUGUCAGAGAAGAACAAGUUGGAGAGUAACUGCUCCAGCCUUGACGGUAUCUGACCAGAAAGCCACGGCUAACUACGUGCCAGCAGCGGC
rnacentral:rRNA from 1 species